UCCGUUGGAUUUUCCCGCCGAUUUAUUUCAUUUUUUUUCAAAAGACCGUUUUCUGAAAAUAUUAAUUGCUCUUUGUGGGCACAGAGACUUCGGACCAAAGCAUUUCGAAUGUUAAUAUUUUAAAUCUAGUGUGUUUGACUAUAUUUGUGUGCUAGUAUUUUCUUACUAUUUAGAUUAAUCUGGUGGUAAUAAUAAAUAUAUAAAUGACGAUGAAACAACAGAUGUAUAACUUGAAGAAUAACUUACAUUAUGUGUUCGAUACAUUAAUGGUUCAGGAGAUAAAAAUUGAAAUAAAGAUUGAAAUAUGUAAAAAUACAUAAUUUAACAGUAAAGAUGUAGUCUGCAGUUCUUGAAGGUUUAAACUCUUGUGGUAUUGAUUGUACUAGAAUGUGCGACCAAGGCCACAAUGGAGCAGCAAAUAUGUCAGAAAAAUUUAAAUUUGUGCAAACUCUGAUAAGAAAUUUAUCAGUUUCAUCUGCUUGUGAAGUUCAAUUCAUUAAAAUCUGUAUGGGUAUAGUGGAAAAAAUAAAUAAUUUUUUCGAUUUCCCAAAAUUUAAUAAUGUUCUUUUGGAAGCAAUUACCAACAGCAGCCUAAACCCUUUAACAAAAUCACUCAAAUGAUUGUGUUUUAAACAAUGGGUUGAAAGAUAUACAGCACUCAAUGACUUUGUAGAACUUUUUCCGUCUAUAGUUGAAGCAUUAGAAGAAAUACCAAAUAAGUUUGACAUU